CUACGGGCCGCAGCAGUGGGGAAUAUUGGACAGUGGGGGAAACCCUGAUCCAGCAAUGCCGCGUGUGUGAAGAAGGCCUGCGGGUUGUAAAGCACUUUCGGUUGGGAGGACUGCUUCUAGCACUAAUAUUGUUGGAAGUUGACGUUACCUUCAGAAGAAGCACCGGCUAACUCCGUGCCAGCAGCCGCGGUAAUACGGAGGGGGCAAGCGUUAAUCGGAAUUACUGGGCGUAAAGCGCGCGUAGGCGGCUAGAUCAGUCGGGUGUGAAAGCCCCGGGCUUAACCUGGGAACGGCAUCCGAUACUGUCUAGCUUGAGUACAGGAGAGGAGAGUGGAAUUCCACAUGUAGCGGUGAAAUGCGUAGAUAUGUGGAGGAACACCAAUGGCGAAGGCAGCUCUCUGGCCUGAUACUGACGCUGAGGUGCGAAAGCGUGGGGAGCAAACAGGAUUAGAUACCCGCGUAGUC
rnacentral:rRNA from 1 species